rnacentral:rRNA from 1 species
AGGCUACCGCUAUUGGAGUUCGAUUAAGCCAUGCGAGUCGCGAGUCCUAGGGACUCGGCGUACCGCUCAGUAACACGUGGGUAACCUGCCCUAUGCAGGGGGAUAACCUCGGGAAACUGAGAAUAAUACCCCAUAGUUCACCACGCCUGGAACGGUGGGUGGAUGAAAGCUCCGGCGGCAUAGGAUGGGCCUGCGGCGUAUCAGGUUGUAGGGGGUGUAAUGUACCCUCUAGCCAUCUACGCGUACGGGUGUUGGGAGACAUCGCCCGGAGAUGGAUUCUGAGACACGAAUCCAGACCCUACGGGGUGCAGCAGGCGCGAAAACUUGGCAAUGCGAGAAAUCGUGACCAGGGAACUCCAAGUGCAUCGGGUAAGACCGAUGCUUUUCUUGACUCUUCAAAGGUCUUGGAAUAAGGGGUGGGUAAGGACGGUGCCAGCCGCCGCGGUAAUACCGGCGCCUCAAGUGGUAGUCGCUUUUAUUGGGCCUAAAACGUCCGUAGCCGGUUUGGUACAUUCGUGGGUAAAUCAAGGCGCUCAACGUCUUGAAUUCUGCGAGCACGGCCAGACUUGGGACCGGGUGAGGUGUGGGGUACUCUCAGGGUAGGGGUAAAAUCCUGUCAUCCUGAGAGGACCACCUGUUGCGAAGGCGCCACACUAGAACGGAUCCGACGGUCAGGGACGAAGCCUAGGGGCACGAACCGGAUUAGAUACCCGGGUAGUCCUAGGUGUAAACGCUGUGGACUUGAUGUUGGGAGUGCUCCGAGCACCCUCAGUGUCGAAGCGAAGGUGAUAAGUCCACUGCCUGGGGAGUACGGUCGCAAGGCUGAAACUUAAAGGAAUUGGCGGGGGAGCACUGCAACCUGAGGAUUGUGCGGUUU